rnacentral:rRNA from 1 species
AGAGUUUGAUCCUGGCUCAGAUUGAACGCUGGCGGCAUGCCUUACACAUGCAAGUCGAACGGCAGCACGAGAGCUUGCUCUUGGUGGCGAGUGGCGAACGGGUGAGUAAUAUAUCGGAACGUACCCUAGAGUGGGGGAUAACGUAGCGAAAGUUACGCUAAUACCGCAUACGAUCUACGGAUGAAAGUGGGGGAUCGCAAGACCUCAUGCUCAUGGAGCGGCCGAUAUCUGAUUAGCUAGUUGGUGGGGUAAAAGCUCACCAAGGCGACGAUCAGUAGCUGGUCUGAGAGGACGACCAGCCACACUGGAACUGAGACACGGUCCAGACUCCUACGGGAGGCAGCAGUGGGGAAUUUUGGACAAUGGGCGCAAGCCUGAUCCAGCAAUGCCGCGUGAGUGAAGAAGGCCUUCGGGUUGUAAAGCUCUUUUGUCAGGGAAGAAACGGUGGACUCUAAUACAGAUCACUAAUGACGGUACCUGAAGAAUAAGCACCGGCUAACUACGUGCCAGCAGCCGCGGUAAUACGUAGGGUGCAAGCGUUAAUCGGAAUUACUGGGCGUAAAGCGUGCGCAGGCGGUUGUGCAAGACAGAUGUGAAAUCCCCGGGCUCAACCUGGGAAUUGCAUUUGUGACUGCACGGCUAGAGUGUGUCAGAGGGGGGUAGAAUUCCACGUGUAGCAGUGAAAUGCGUAGAGAUGUGGAGGAAUACCGAUGGCGAAGGCAGCCCCCUGGGAUAACACUGACGCUCAUGCACGAAAGCGUGGGGAGCAAACAGGAUUAGAUACCCUGGUAGUCCACGCCCUAAACGAUGUCUACUAGUUGUCGGGUCUUAAUUGACUUGGUAACGCAGCUAACGCGUGAAGUAGACCGCCUGGGGAGUACGGUCGCAAGAUUAAAACUCAAAGGAAUUGACGGGGACCCGCACAAGCGGUGGAUGAUGUGGAUUAAUUCGAUGCAACGCGAAAAACCUUACCUACCCUUGACAUGUCUGGAAUCCUUGAGAGAUCAGGGAGUGCUCGAAAGAGAAUCAGAACACAGGUGCUGCAUGGCUGUCGUCAGCUCGUGUCGUGAGAUGUUGGGUUAAGUCCCGCAACGAGCGCAACCCUUGUCAUUAGUUGCUACGAAAGGGCACUCUAAUGAGACUGCCGGUGACAAACCGGAGGAAGGUGGGGAUGACGUCAAGUCCUCAUGGCCCUUAUGGGAAGGGCUUCACACGUCAUACAAUGGUACAUACAGAGGGCCGCCAACCCGCGAGGGGGAGCUAAUCCCAGAAAGUGUAUCGUAGUCCGGAUUGUAGUCUGCAACUCGACUACAUGAAGUUGGAAUCGCUAGUAAUCGCGGAUCAGCAUGUCGCGGUGAAUACGUUCCCGGGUCUUGUACACACCGCCCGUCACACCAUGGGAGCGGGCUUUACCAGAAGUGGGUAGCCUAACCGCAAGGAGGGCGCUCACCACGGUGGGAUUCGUGACUGGGGUGAAGUCGUAACAAGGUA